rnacentral:rRNA from 1 species
UACGUAGGGGGCAAGCGUUGUCCGGAUUUAUUGGGCGUAAAGAGCGUGUAGGCGGCCAUGUAGGUCCGUUGUGAAAACUCGAGGCUCAACCUCGAGACGCCGAUGGAAACCAUCUGGCUAGAGUCCGGAAGAGGAGAGUGGAAUUCCUGGUGUAGCGGUGAAAUGCGCAGAUAUCAGGAAGAACACCCGUGGCGAAGGCGGCUCUCUGGGACGUGACUGACGCUGAGACGCGAAAGCGUGGGGAGCAAACAGG